GCGACACACAGGCGGAGCGGAAAGUGUACGGACCUGGAAAGUGAAGGACCACUAUCGAGGCAACCUCGGCAGUAAAGGUAUUAAGUUUUACAGACGAAAGUCUCUCUGAUCAGGACGUCUUAGAUUGAGACCAACUUUGGUGACUUUAUUGCAGACAAUGUGAACAAAAUACCAAUGUCUACAGAACGGCUGCCUGAGACACGGUUAAUGAAACUCUUCAGGAAGUAAAGAGCGCCCGCGUUCAUCUGCAGGGAAACGCUUUGAAACAGGAAGCUUGAUGGGGAGCUCCGAGCAACAGU